UACGUAGGGGGGCAAGCGUUGUCCGGAUUUAUUGGGCGUAAAGAGCGUGUAGGCGGUUAGGUAGGUCCGUUGUGAAAACUCGAGGCUCAACCUCGAGACGCCGAUGGAAACCAUCUAACUAGAGUCCGGAAGAGGAGAGUGGAACUCCUGGUGUAGCGGUGAAAUGCGUAGAUACCGGGAGGAACACCCGCAGCGAAGGCGGCUGGCUGGGCCAUUCCUGACGCUGAGGCGCGAAGGCUCGGGGAGCGAACGGG
rnacentral:rRNA from 1 species